CUGAUACUUCCUCCGUCCGAAAAUACUUGUCACAGGAAUGAAUGUAUUUAGAUGUAUUUUAGUUCUAGAUACAUCCUAUUUUAUCCAUUUACGUGACAAGUAAUUCCGGACGGAGCUAGUACUAG
rfam:Hordeum vulgare subsp. vulgare, WGS project CAJW01000000 data, contig: morex_contig_115307